CUGAAUAAAGGACUAAAGGAAUACACAUCAGCUGAAUGUGUCUGGAGAGGUGUGUUAUGUUAUAUGUUUGCCUUUCAUGGAUGGAUACCUUGAAUUGUGGGAUUUUAAUAUCAGGUUUGGCCUACAGACUCAUCUCCAACACAAGGCGCCUGACUGUGUUCAUGCAAAUGCCAAAACAACAGUCGAGCAGCAGCAGCGCGCAGGAGCGUCUUCUCCGGAGCGACCAUGCGGCUCUCCUCGGGGACAGACGCUCAUUCUCCGGAUCUCAGCGGGAGCACAGGUGUUAAAACCUCACACAGGAGAGGACAGAAGACAGAUAUCAUGCAAACAUACCGCCUGUAGCUUGUGUCGAGCAGCUGCCUUUCCAAUCGGGGGCGGCGGGUCGCCCUUCUUCUGCAGCCCCCUCCUCGGGUGUUCCCUCUCGGCUUUGUUGAGCCCCCCUGCUCGGUCCUCUCUCUUCUCCCGGCUCCUGGCUCCUCCGUCCCCGCCAGCAGAAUCCAGGCUGCUGAAGUUCCACACGAUGAGAGUCUGGACCAGCAGGACGGCCAGAGCCGCGAUCAGCAGCGCGGACUUGGAGCGCCGGGCGAGCCUGCGGGCGCACGGGUUCCCGUUCAUCCUUCUCCUCCUCCUCCUCCCUCCGGCUCAGGCUGAGAGCCCCAUCCGAUAAACGCCGACAGCGGGGUGUGAAUGCUCCCCUACACGGCCUGAGAGGGGCUUCUGGCAGGCAGAGAGGAGGAGGAGGAGGGAGGGAGGAAGAAGGGAGGAGGGAGGAGGGAAUUUGGCAAAGGCUUGAAAUGAGGAGAGAGGUUUGGAGGUUUGGAGGCAGCAGGGAGGACGCGGAGGCCCUCAUGUGGCCAACGAUGAGUCAACAGUUUAUUGUGUUCCUGUCUGGUCACACCUGCUCCCUGAUGGUUUCCCCGGUGGUUAAGUACGACUUAAACCAAGCUAACGCAGUUCCUGUAAUGUCAAUCGUCAGUCUUCGUCCCAGCCUUCUAUCCUCAUCGAUACAUGACAUAACAAGCCGGUUUUGAUCUCCGCCUGCCUUUUUCGACCUCGCCUUUUGCCUCACGUCUGCCUGAUACCUCGGCCUGAUCUGACUGCCUUCCUGUGGACCGACUCUUAAAAUUAAACCCUUUCCUUUUUGGAA